UACAGAGGUCCCGAGCGUUGUUCGGAUUCACUGGGCGUAAAGGGUGCGUAGGUGGCGAGGAAAGUCGGAUGUGAAAGCUCGGAGCUCAACUCCGAAAUGGCAUUGGAAACUACCUUGCUCGAGGGUUGGAGGGGGGACUGGAAUUCUCGGUGUAGCAGUGAAAUGCGUAGAUAUCGAGAGGAACACCAGUGGCGAAGGCGAGUCCCUGGACAACUCCUGACACCGAGGCACGAAAGCUAGGGGAGCAAACAGG
rnacentral:rRNA from 1 species